AAUGAACGUUGGCGGCGUGGAUUAGGCAUGCAAGUCGUGCGCGAAUCGUAGCAAUACGAGGAGAGCGGCGAAAGGGAGAGGAUAGCAUAGAUACCUACCCUCGGACCUGGGAUAGCUAUGGGAAACUAUAGGUAAUACCAGAUAAUGUCUCCGGACCAAAGGUGUGAUUCUGUCCGGGGAGGGGUCUAUGUCCUAUUAGCUUGUUGGUGAGGUAACGGCUCACCAAGGCAAAGAUGGGUACGAGGCGUGAGAGCGUGUCCUCGCUCACUGGGACUGAGACACUGCCCAGACACCUACGGGUGGCUGCAGGCGAGAAUCUUCGGCAAUGGGCGCAAGCCUGACCGAGCGACGCCGCGUGUGGGAUGAAGGCCUUCGGGUUGUAAACCACUGUCAGUGCGGAGGAAAUAUAGUGGGGUUCUCCCCAUUAUUUGACCUAUGCGCAGAGGAAGGACGGGCUAAGUUCGUGCCAGCAGCCGCGGUAA
rnacentral:rRNA from 1 species